AGGCAACCUCCUUCUGAAUACUUAAAUGAGAAGUGAGGUGUUAAUCUGGUCGGAAAUCGAUCUCUUUAGCUCUUUCAGAUUUUUCUGAGGCUUAAUGCUUUUGAAGUUGGUCUAGCAAGCAAAAGGACAUU